CCUACGGGUGGCUGUAGUGGGGAAUAUUUCGCAAUGGGCGAAAGCCUGACGCAGCGACGCCGCGUGAGGGAUGACGGUCUUCUGAUCGUACACCUCUGUCAGCAGGGAAUAACGGUCACUUUGCUAAUCAGCAGUGAAUUGACGGUACCUGCAAAGGCAUCACCGGCUCACUCCGUGCCAGCAGCCGCGGUAAUACGGAGGGGGCGAGCGUUACUCGGAAUUACUGGGCGUAAAGCGCUCUGAGGCGGUAUGUCAAGUCAAGGGUGAAAUCCCCGCGCUCAACGUGGGAACUGCCUUUGAAACUGGUAAACGGGAGUGUGUGAGCGGAAAGUGGAAUGCCAGGUGUAGGAGUGAAAUCCGUAGAUAUCUGGAGGAACAUCAGUGGCGAAGGCGACUAUCUGGCACAUAACUGACGCUGAGGAGCGAAAGCGUGGGUAGCAAACAGGAUUAGAUACCCUUGUAGUC
rnacentral:rRNA from 1 species